AUCGCUCCAGUGGCCUAGUGGUUAGAGCGUCCUCCUCGGAUGCGGGAGGUCGUGGUUUCGAUACCCGGACGAGUUAUA